rnacentral:rRNA from 1 species
CCUACGGGUGGCUGCAGUGGGGAAUAUUGGACAAUGGGCGAAAGCCUGAUCCAGCAAUACCGCGUGUGUGAAGAAGGCCUGAGGGUUGUAAAGCACUUUCAAUAGGAAGGAAUACCUACCGGUUAAUACCCGGUAGACUGACAUUACCUAUACAAGAAGCACCGGCUAACUCCGUGCCAGCAGCCGCGGUAAUACGGAGGGUGAAAGCGUUAAUCGGAAUUACUGGGCGUAAAGUUGUCGUGGGCGAUGUGAAAGCCCCGGGCUUAACCUGGGAACUGCAUUUGAUACUGGCAGGCUAGAGUUGAGUAGAGGAGAGUGGAAUUUCAGGUGUAGCGGUGAAAUGCGUAGAGAUCUGAAGGAACACCAGUGGCGAAGGCGGCUCUCUGGACUCAAACUGACGCUGAGGUACGAAAGCGUGGGUAGCAAACAGGAUUAGAUACCCUAGUAGUC